CUCCCGGGAGGGGGCGGAAGUGACGCAAUCGGUCGCGUCAGACUAAGCGCCGCCGUCGCCGGCCCAAAUACGCGACGCGCAGGGACGGCCUCCCUCGGCUCCCACAGGCCGAGCGCGGCGCCGGCGCAGAGAGGCCGGGGCUGCUGCGCAUGUGCAGGACGCAGCGCUUCCUGGAGGGCGGGAGCGCGCUCACUUCCGCGCCUGCGCCCUGGGAGUCGUUCGUGCCUGUGGGAGCAAAGUGGCUUCGCUGCCCGGGAAAGAUUUAUACUCAGAAUUUUGGACCAUCAGAUUGAAAGAGAAGCUAGGAGGAAGAAGGAUAAAAUGAAAAUGUUAAAUGUUAACAUUUAGAGAAUCUGAUGAAGGGUAUCUGAGAAUUCUUUGUACUAUUGUAACUUCUGUAAGUCUGAAAUUGUAACAGAAUAAAAAGUUUU